UUUUAUUCUCAGCCUGACAUGACCUUAUGCAAACUCUGAGGUAUCCCAUCUGUAAAAUAAGAUAAUGAUACUUGCCUGCCUCCUAAGGCAAGGGUGUGAGGCCUUGCUCAAUAACAUGGAUAGAAGUACACACCAAAAGAAAGGAAUGCUGCAGUUCCUCCUCCUCACUAUGCACAGAUUUAGAGACCGAAGGAAAAAUGACCACACUGAAAAGCAGCAUUUGAGAUAAAAUCCUCUUUUAUAUGAAACUACUUCAUAAAAUGGCUGCCACAAACUGAAUGUUCUGGUCUACAAAGUCUGCAGCAAUCAGUUCUACAAAAGAAGCCGUUUGCCAAGAGGAUAACAGAUUACAUAUCUAAAACUUCAAAGCUCUCAAUGGAAAUCAGGUCUAAAUCCAUUCACACAGAACUAAUAUUUCCAAAUUGUAUUUUAUAACGAAGUGCAAGUUGGAAGCAAAUACAACUGUUUGUACUGCUGCACCAUCUCUUACAUAAUAAAAAUACAAGCGAUGUCCAUUUCAUUAUGGUUAGGGAUGCGAGAAGGUAACUGCAAUAAGGAAAUUCCAAGGGAUUUAAGCAGAAGUUGGAUCUAUAUGGCAUGUCCUUAUGUUAUUUAUACUAUUGUUGUACAGGAUUGCCAAUUCCUAGAUUUUAUCUUAUUUGUAUUUCAGAUACCAGUAUUUGUGAAGUUAACAUUAGGUUACAUUAAAAAUUUAUUGUAUGUAACCUAAUGUACAUGUAACUGCUCCUCUUCACAUCAUCUGCUUUUUUUAAAAAUAGCAUUAGAAAAAAGGCAGAACAUGCAAGAAAAAUAUUUUUAAAGAAACAUUACUGCCAACAUUCUGUUCCAUUAUUUAAAAUUUUGAGUUACUGACAUCCCAGCUUUCAUCCUGGGUGAAGCAACUUAAAUCAAGUGAGCGAGCUUAACAGUUAAGUUGGAAAGCUUGACAAUUAGGUUACGGUCUGUACCCUGAAAUACAAGAAGAACAGGUGUUGCUAGUCAUCAAAAAGGUCCCAAGAAAGGCCUACAUAUGUGCAGACUCUACUAAACUUUUUGUAAGAGUUAAACUAACAUCAUUUCCCCUCAGGAAUAAUGUCUCUUUCAAGUCAACUCUCAGAGGAGUUUGUGUUUGUUCAGAUAAGGUUUUUUUCCUUUCCUAAGAAUGGAAAUGCAGGAAUCACAAUUCCAGUCAUAUUCCCCAGACAUUAUACUAAUGCACUCUCUACCAAACACACAGUUUCCCCAUCUGUAUUUUUGCUUCUCAUAACCUCAGAUCAGUGGCACCAGUCACUCAUAUCCACCUUACCCAUCCAUUGUCAUUACUGUAGCCUCCAAUCAAGGCAUGAUUGUGUAAUAUGACUUCACACAUUACCUAAUGCUUAUAAGCUAGUCCAACAAAACUGUGAGAGGGGAGUCAAGUCAGAAGCAUGAUCCGUGCAGACAUCAAUGUGUUUCAAAGUUACAGUAAAGCAAGCUGAAGGCUUUACUUCCUAGAAAUCAUUUCCCCCAUAUCUUAAAGUCAACCUUAGGAAGUAGAGUAUUUUAGACAUUCAGCUGACUCACAGCUCAGAAAAUAAGGCUCAUUUAUAAAUGUGCUCUCUUCAAUUGCUCCCACACUACAGGUGAGUAGAUAUUACCAGCAGUAAGUUUAUUCUGGUGAAGUCUGAGGAAAGGGGGAUAAAAAUGGUAGGCAUUUUACUUUUUUAUUUAAUACAACGGUGAAACACAUGGCUCUAUCAAUGAUGCUAGACACAUGAUCUUUGCUACAAAAGAGAAUAAUUUACACGUGAUGCUAUGCAAAUAUUAUACCCUUGGGACAGAAAAAAAAAUCAAAGGUCGUGUGCCUGUGUGAUCCCACUUAUUCACCCAUUAUACCCAGUUAUUAGACUUCACUUUAUUUGGCAUAAUGUUCCUACACUCCUAAAAUGUAUUUAUUCUGAUUGCUGUUGCUCUUACUACUAAUAACCCACAUUUUUCAGUGACAUUUAGAUUAAAAAGCAAACCAACUUUUUCUUGACAAAGUCAGGAUUUUUGCAGCUUCACUUACAAACAUAAUUACAACCUUACAAUUAAGGUUAAGAAUGUGUCAAACAUAUUUUAAAUAAUGCAAGUCCUUGUAUAUACUGUGUGUAUGUGAUUUGGUAUUUUUAAACCAAUUUAACAAUACCAUUUUAAAUCAAAUAAACUUACCUAUUUCCAUUUUAACACCUUUUAUUACAUUGCAAUUUAAAAACAUUCCUGAUUGGCAUGCAAAAUUAAGUUUUAAAAGGUUAUAACAAAAUAACGUGGUCAUAACUGUGUUUCUACCACAAUAUUUCAAGUUCAUAUAAUGUUCAAGAAUAGGUUAAAUAUUACUGGACAAAGAAUCUUAUUCAUACAUUUGAUAAAAACUUACAUAGUGCACAUAUUGAUAGCAAAGAGUUUUAGAAUUCAUUUUAUUGAUAAUUACUUAAAAGAUACUCAAGGAAAAAUGAAUAGGCCACGAUUUAAUAAAAGUUAACAAAAACAGGCAAAAUGCAGUGUAUUGACAAACCACAGAAGAGCAAUGCAAAGUUUUUAGACUUCAAUGUUAGAUUAAGCCAACAUAUUUUGUUUAAAAUAUAAUGUUAAAAGCUAAAUGAAGAACAAAACAAAGGACUUAAUGUUGUUGUAAGUAUCAAAUAUUAGCUGUAUUUUCAGUAUUUUGUACUGUUCCACAAAUCAAAGUUAAAUUUAUAAAAUAUCUGAAAAGAA